GGGCGCAGCAGGCGCGAAAACUUUACCAUGCGGGAAACCGUGAUAAGGGGACACCGAGUGCCAGCAUCAUAUGCUGGCUGUCCAGGUGUGUAAAAUACACCUGUUAGCAAGGGCCGGGCAAGACCGGUGCCAGCCGCCGCGGUAACACCGGCGGCCCGAGUGGUGAUCGUGAUUAUUGGGUCUAAAGGGUCCGUAGCCGGUUUGGUCAGUCCUCCGGGAAAUCUGACGGCUCAACCGUUAGGCUUUCAGGGGAUACUGCCAGGCUUGGAACCGGGAGAGGUAAGAGGUACUACAGGGGUAGGAGUGAAAUCUUGUAAUCCCUGUGAGACCACCUGCGGCGAAGGCGUCUUACCAGAACGGGUUCGACGGUGAGGGACGAAAGCUGGGGGCACGAACCGGAUUAGAUACCCGGGUAGUCCCAGCCGUAAACGAUGCUCGCUAGGUGUCAGGCAUGGCGCGACCGUGUCUGGUGCCGCAGGGAAGCCGUGAAGCGAGCCACCUGGGAAGUACGGCCGCAAGGCUGAAACUUAAAGGAAUUGGCGGGGGAGCAC
rnacentral:rRNA from 1 species